rnacentral:lncRNA from 1 species
CAGAUGGGUCCCGGGGGCACAGAGGCGCAGCUGUCGGUGCCUAUCUUGAAUCGGGUGCGGGUGCUGGAGGAGCACGUGCCCGGACUGGAGGCGAAGCUGAAAAAGCACCUGGGCAGGGAACGCCCCCGGCCGGUCAGCGGCGGCGGCACCCUUGUGGCGCGCGUUGAGGUCCUGGAAGAAGCAGUCGACACUCUCCUGCAGGCGCAGGUGCUUUCCCACAUGCUGCUCAAUGUCUGCUAUUCUGCGGACUCACAUGACCCCCAGAUGGGCCACACAUAGACAUGCAAUGGAGGCAUGAUUACUCCAUAGAACGUUUGGGCAAUUUGAGCUCUGAAAUACAAGCAAUGGGCGGGAGUGCGACCUGCAACCAGUAAAGAUAUCAACCCCUUUAGAUUUGUUGGUCGUGGCAUGCUUCCCGCUGACACUGGCGGGGUGCUUAGAAGAGUAGUUUUGGACUGUAGUGCAAGCGCUGUAGAGGCGCCCAGUGGUAAGCGUUUAACAGGCAUGUUGAGUAAGGCUGGCUAUCUGUCAUUGAAGGGCUGCCUUGACACAGGGCCACAGCAGUCCUCAAGGAUGCCAUGCGCAAUAAUGCCCGUGAUACUGGCAGGUCCAAAAAUAUUUUCUUUCAAGUCAAUGACCACUAAAAACCGUGUUUUGCUGCAAUGCAGGAGGCACAGCUGAAAGAGCAGGCACAGAAGGUGAAGAGCAGAUGCAUGCCCUGCUGUUGCGUGAUGUGAUGAACGGCAGGAGGCCAUGGACUGACCAUUCCAUGAGGGACUUAUGAGCGCCAUUGCAUGAGAAAGGCAUGGCUUGUGCCAGCAGACUCAUGCAAGUUGAUCAGGCCAGUCUACAGCUUCUGCAGCCAAGAAAUAUUUAUUCAUCAAUCCGCUCAGUGAAGGGCAGUAGAAUAGCAAAUGUAUUCCAGUCACUACUUAGAUCUCUGUGAAACCCGCAGCAUGCGUCGCGCACAGUGGCGGCUGUACUGUGUAUUCUUGUUUGUAGAAUAAUGAGCAGUGCAUGCAGUGUUUUGGAAUUAUGCAGGGAUAAAUUUCUCUAACGCAGGAUUUGGUCUAAUGCUAGAUGUGACAGGCAUGUUGGUGUUCUUCAUGUGAGCUUGUUCUCUGCCUGGUUGCUUCCGCUGAUUUGCUUGCCUUACACAAGACGGCCUCUCAUGUGCAGAGGAAUAGGGCAGUUCAUUGUAUGGUGGCUCACAAGCACACUGAUGUUGUCUAUAUCUUUCUCUGGCCUGCAUGCAUCCUAUAUGUUGUGAAGAGAAAGCUGGAUGCCAAUCGCCUGACCUGCGGAAUGCCGAGGCUACUGCAGAUGCUGUAGUCUCUCACUUCAAUGCCAACAUGAUAGAGUAAAGUAAAAUUUUCAGCC